rfam:Caedibacter sp. 37-49 SCNpilot_expt_500_p_scaffold_743, whole genome shotgun sequence.
CCUGGCCGCCAUAGCGGAGGUGUCCCACCCGAUCCCAUCUCGAACUCGGACGUGAAAGCCUCCAGCGCCAAUGGUACUCCGUCUUAAGGCGUGGAAGAGUAGGUCGCCGCCAGGC